rnacentral:lncRNA from 1 species
GCUAUUCUUCCAGGCUGCCUUGGGAAGUUUUUCUUUUGCCAGCAGAACACAGAGGGGAGCAGACCCUUCCCUAGAAGCUCAAAGCGUAAGCACAUGGUCCUCUCCCCUGCAGAGGACAAAUAAAGGGAACAGAAUGUGUUUUCCGUGAAAGGAACAAGGAACUGACCUUUGCUUGUUGGUCGGUUCCUCCGUUCCCUGGACACAAUUAGGUGAUUGUAACUAAGUUGGAAAUGUUCCCUGUGAUCUAACUAGAAAGAUUUUUGAUCUGUGUGACUUGGAGAGCACGAAACAAACUGCACUUGGCCUUCAAAUCCUCCUUCAGAUGAAAACAGCAGCAUUCAUAGCCUGGGUGCUCCAAAAGUGCUCUUAUUUGCCUGGUUUGAUCUUCACAUCACCUCGUGAAGCCGAGAAGUCACCUGUCACAGAGCGGUGAGCUGAGAUGUUAUUUACAGCAGACACUGUCCUCCCUGUGCACAUAUGGACACAUGGGACCACACCCUGGUGAGAAGAAGCCCCCGUGCAAGGCUGGACGACCCCGCAGCCCACCCGCCAGCGCCUCCCUCGCUGUCCCACCAGCUCCUUCCUUCUGUCCCCGGAGUGUGGAGCAGUGCACAUGCUGGGUUCACACCCACGUCCUCACAGCUGCCUUCCCGGUGGUGUUUGGGCCUCGUCAUGCCUGGCAGCCAGGAGCAUUGGGAGGAAGCCCUGUCAGACGGCAGCUGGCCAAGGGCUAGCAGCAACUUGCCCACAUCAUCCUCCGCAAAGAGAAAGGAGAGGGGCACAGGCCGGAGCCAGGGCAUCCUGACAAGGAACCAGGAGGUCCUGUGUAGACCUCAGGCUCCCAAGGCUUUCCUCUGAGUUCAGACUUUGCAGCUUGGCACCUCAGUGGUUGGCCCUGAUGGUCAUGGAGACCAGAAGGAUGGGAGCAGGAGGAGGAGGGGAGGCCGCCUGGCGACGGGAGCGGGAGGAGGAGGGGAGGCCGCCUGGCGACGGGAGCGGGAGGAGGAGGGGAGGCCGCCUGGUGACGGGAGCGGGAGGAGGAGGGGAGGCCGCCUGGUGACGGGAGCGGGAGGAGGAGGGGAGGCUGCCUGGUGAUGGGAGUGGGAGGAGGAGGGGAGGCCGCCUGGUGACGGGAGCGGGAGGAGGAGGGGAGGCUGCCCAGUGCGCACAGAUCAGGGUAGUGACUGCCUCUCCCAGUGCCCGGUCAUCCCUGGCCUUGGUGGCUGGCUCCUCCUGCCCAGGCGGCCCCUGCCUAGUAGGACGGCCACAGCGGCCAAAGGGCCAGA